rnacentral:rRNA from 1 species
UACGUAGGGUGCAAGCGUUGUCCGGAAUUAUUGGGCGUAAAGAGCUCGUAGGCGGUUCGUCGCGUCGGCUGUGAAAACCUGAGGCUCAACCUCAGGCCUGCAGUCGAUACGGGCGGACUUGAGUACUGCAGGGGAGACUGGAAUUCCUGGUGUAGCGGUGAAAUGCGCAGAUAUCUGGAGGAACACCGGUGGCGAAGGCGGCAUUCUGGACCGAUAUUGACGCUGAGGAGCGAAAGCCAGGGGAGCAAACGGG